GACGAACGCUGGCGGCGUGCUUAACACAUGCAAGUCGAACGGAAAGGCCCUACUUUUGUGGGGUGCUCGGGUGGCGAACGGGUGAGUGAGACGUAAGUAACCUACCCUUCACUUUCGGGUAACUUCACGAAACUGAGGCUAAUAUCGGAUAGGAGAUCCUGCUGCAUGGUAGGGGUGGGAUAGUCUCGGUGGUUGGGGUUGGAGUGGCGGCUUAUGGGCUUGUUAGUGGGGGAGUUGCUUACCAAGGCUGAGACGGGUCGGCGACAGGAGAGGGUGGCCGGCCACAUUAGGACUGAGAGACGGCCCAGACUGGUACGGUGGGCAGAAGGGGCGAAUAUUGCACAAUGGGCGGGAGCGUGAUGCAGCAACGCCGCGGUCGUGAUGACCUCUUUCGGGGUGUAAACAGCUUUCGCUUGUUACGCCGCGGGAGUGACGGUAAUGGGUAAAGAAGCACCGGCUAACUACGUG
rnacentral:rRNA from 1 species